rnacentral:tmRNA from 1 species
GGGGGCGAUGAGAUUCGAUUCGGACCUGUGAGUUGCGAGGGGCAUGCCGAGGUGGUCAGGAGGCCUCGUUAAACACCUGACACAAUACCAAGUGCCAACUACAACCCUGUAGCAGAAGCGGAAGCAAUUCUGGCUUCUGGGCACCUCGUCGCUGCCUAAUUAAAUAGGCAGCGCCGUCGUCUCGUCAGCCUGCGGACGAGGCGGCGACAGUCGCAGGCUAGCUUGACGUUGUGCCACUGGGCGUCAGGUGACGGGACACAGUGGCUUAGCCCCGCCGGUCUCGCCUUGCAAGGCGGGCGGGGUGAAGCGUUCAAUGUAGGGCUACGCAUGUAGAGGGCUCACGCUCUCGAUCCGAAGACGUGGGUGCAACUCCCACCGCCUCCACUU